GAUGAACGCUGGCGGCGUGCCUAAUACAUGCAAGUCGAGCGAACAGAUAAGGAGCUUGCUCCUUUGACGUUAGCGGCGGACGGGUGAGUAACACGUGGGUAACCUACCUAUAAGACUGGGAUAACUUCGGGAAACCGGAGCUAAUACCGGAUAACAUUUGGAACCGCAUGGUUCUAAAGUGAAAGAUGGUUUUGCUAUCACUUAUAGAUGGACCCGCGCCGUAUUAGCUAGUUGGUAAGGUAACGGCUUACCAAGGCAACGAUCCGUAGCCGACCUGAGAGGGUGAUCGGCCACACUGGAACUGAGACACGGUCCAGACUCCUACGGGAGGCAGCAGUAGGGAAUCUUCCGCAAUGGGCGAAAGCCUGACGGAGCAACGCCGCGUGAGUGAUGAAGGGUUUCGGCUCGUAAAACUCUGUUAUUAGGGAAGAACAAACGUGUAAGUAACUGUGCACGUCUUGACGGUACCUAAUCAGAAAGCCACGGCUAACUACGUG
rnacentral:rRNA from 1 species